UGACAGGGUCUCACUAAGUUUAUGAGCGCCUCCCUAAGUUGCCCAUAUUGGCCUUGAACUUGUGAUCCUCCUGCCUCAGCCUCCCAAGUCACCUGGGAUUAAAGGCAUGCACCACCAUGCCUCAAUUGAAGUAAGUAUUCUUAUUUUAUUUUAUUUUUUCUGUUUUACAGAUGAGGAGACUGAAGUACACAUGGCACGUGUUCUUAUUUCUGUUUGUUUUUUUGUUUGGGGUUUGUUUUUCCUUCCUCGGUCUGGUAGAUGCAAAUAUCCAAACUGACCCAGGAGCUGAAUUAUUUAGAGAGUGAUGACACAUUCAGAAUUUAGCUCAGUGGCUCUUCAGGUUGCCAACUAGAAAGCAGCUUUGCUGGCUGCCACUUUUGAUCCAGGGCCAGACCCUGAGGGUGACACAUCACUGAACUGCAAGGAGCCUGGAGAAUCAUGGGUCCCUGUAGCAGAGACUGCUCUCCAAAGCUAUUUGUCCUUCUUCUGUGGCACAAAGCUAGACUGUAUUCUUCAGCCUCCCUUGGAGCUUCUAAUAAUUUCUAGCCAAUGGAAUGGGAUGGAAUUUGCAUAGAAAUGAUGGGUGCCUCUUUUAGAGAUGGUCCUUUAUAAUCCACACCCCCUCCCCUGUCUCUGCCCAUCAUCUGGCUACAUGCACAGGAUUCUGAGGAUUUAGAAAACAGAAGAUGGUAGAAAUCUGUUUUCCUGGUUCUUUGACUAGAUUUCAUUAAAUGGCUUAUUUAACUAAGAUUUAGUCUAGUAAGCUUCCAAUCGGCUAGAACUUCAUGAAGGAAAAAUGCCUGCUGAUGAGGAACACGUACAUUGGACAGUUGAAUAACCAUGGGAAACAACUUUUCUUAUAUUAAGACAUUAAAAUUUACAGGCUUGUUUGUCACCACAGAUAGCAUUGACCUGAACGGUCCUCAAGACCAUUAUGCAAUAAGCUAGCCAUACUAAUCCUGAAGAGCCCACACUGGGACUUCUAGAUGACGAAAAACAAAUCUCACUUCUUGCAUUUUCUCUAUAUAACUUCUAUAAUUCCUACUUGUUACUUGAUAUUUCCAUCUAUCUACAGAUGAGUAUAAUCUCAAAAGAGAAAGUGAUGGUUACCUUGAUCCCUCUUGCUGCUUCCCUAACUUUGGUUUUUGUAUCUGUUUUGUUCCAGUGGCAUCUAACUUCGACCUUUGGGUUUCCAACAAAUUUUAAUUUUGCCAGCUUUGACCCUCAGAGUCUCCAAAAUGCCAUUUACACCAAGAAUGCUGUUUGAUGCUUCUAGCCCAGGUUAUUUCAGGUAACCAGCCCUUCUACCUUAAAGGGCUGGGCACCCUGACAUGCAAAUAUCCACACUAACCUGACAGAUGACUCAAUUAGUGGAUGACAACUUAUAUUCAGCAUUUAUUAUAGCAGCCUUUCAGGUUAAGAUCCUCCCAGCUGACUAUUUAAAAAACUUUGUACAAAUUCUUUUUUUUUUUUAAUUGUUGGUUGUUCAAAACAUUACAAAUUUCUUGACAUAUCAUAUUCCACACUUUGAUUCAAGUGGGUUAUGAACUCCCACCUUCACCCCAUACACAGAUUGCAGAAUCACAUCAGUUACACAUCCAUUGAUUUACAUAUUGCCAUACUAGUGUCUGUUGUGCUCCGCUGCCUUUCCCAUCCUCCACCCUCCCCCCUCCCACCUCUCCCCUCCCCUCCCCUCCUCUCUCUCUACCCCCUCCACUGUAUAACCCUGAGGGUCUCCUUCCAUUUCCAUGCAAUUUCUCUUCUCUCUCCCUUUCCCUCCCACCUCUCAUCCCUGUUAAAUGUUAAUCUUUUUCUCCUGCUCUUCGUCCCUACUCUGAUCUUAGUUACUCUCCUUAUAUCAAAGAAGACAUUUGGCAUUUGUUUUUUAGGGAUUGGCUNUGAUCCAUUUUAAAUUCACUUUUGUGCAUGGCGAGAGAAAGGGAUUCAGUUUCAUUUUGUUGCAUAUGGAUUUCCAGUUUUCCCAGCACCAUUUGUUGAAGAUGCUAUCCUUCCUCCAUUAAAAAAAAAAAAAAACAAGAACAACUAACUUCAUUAAGACUCAAAUAUAUUCCAUAUAGUCACAAGCAGGUCCUGCAAAUAGCAAGAUGACUAUGACACCUGGUCAUGAACCAGGUAUUGCUUCCUCCAGGUCUGUAAAAUCUCAUCCUUCCUUUAGCCUUCCAUGAAUAAACCACAACUCUUGAUAAAUCUUGCCUUUUCAGCAAGUUGGAAUAAAUGCUCAUACUCUAGAAAUCUCCCAGGAUCUAGACAGCAUGGAACACUGGGUGGGCUAGGAGAUCAGCCAUUGGAAUGGUGGAAAGAGAGCAAGCUGGAAACUAGACAGACCCAAUUUUCAAUCCCAACUCUACUAAAAUGCUCAGGUUUUUCAUUUGCAAAAUGAGGCAUAUUCGUACCUUGUGCAAACUAGAUGUAUCGAAUAUGGUUAUUUGGGGAAGUGACUGAAGUUCUCUUGCCUUGCAAAAUUUUGCAUGGCUUGAUGUUGUUUUGUCCUCUUCUUAUUCUACUUCUGGAGCCAUUGACUCUAGUUAGAAUCCCAAUCCUGCCACUGAAGGAGGUAUAUGACUUGUUCAAUUAAUUUAAUCUCUUUAUACAGUUUUCUAGUUUUUAAAAGGGGGAUACUAAUAGUACUGCUGUGAGGCUCCAGUUAUUUAAAGUAUGUUUGGCAUGUAGAGCAGAGUUAAGUGCAGAGAAGUAUCCAAUAAACUAUUCUUAUCCUAUGAAGGGAUUACUUGCCACAUCUUGUCUCUCUUUAUGGACUGAAAACUCCUUGGAUCCUAAAACCUCUGCUCUACUCUUUACCAACUGCAAACAUCCAUUUGCUAUUAGUCUUAGUCCUUGGGAUGUUCAGUCCAUUUGUAUGGACUUCCUGGCCAAUUUGCUCAUGCCAGGCAGGGUAGGGUAUGACCCGUUUCUAAGAGGAUAAACCUUUUGACAUUCACUUAGCUUCUGAAACCCAGGGGCCAUCUCUAAGUAGAUGGAGUCCUGUAGUUGUCUGUGCCUGAAGCCCUGGUCCAUCUGUUACCAGAAAGAAAUCUUACUGCUAAAUAAUCACUCAUCCAUGCAGAAUCUAGAUCUACUGUGUGAGAUGUUUUUAAUCAUUUCCUGAUGAGUUACUUACCAGUCCAAACAGAUGUGCAUCUAGGGGGCUGGUUAUCCUCUUUGGUGUUCUCUCUCAUGUUCCUCCUCCAGCAUCUUCUCAAUCUCUCUCUCUUUUUCUUUCUCUCAGCCCUGACUCCUCACUACUCCACAUUCACCAGAGUUUCUCAGUUUGAGGCCUGCUGGAUCCAUCAAGUUUUCCUCUUUCAGAAAUUGGAAAUCGGAGAGAGGUGGCUUCAGAUGCCCAAGGAUGGGAAACCUACCUGUUGCACAAUUUUUCUUUGGCUGCUAUCAACCUCUCAUUUUGCAGGCUCUGAUCCCAGGCUCAGCCUCUUCUUCUAGCUGAAGCCAACCUCCUAGGAGAAGGAUGCAAGGAGGAAACCAUCCUGCCUGGAGUGCAGAUAAAACCACCAUCAGAGUCUCCUGUAAUGUCACUGUUCUUCAGCCCCAUGGCUCACAGCACUCACCUUCAUGUCCAGGAUGAGGUCUGCACUCCAUGAAUCUUAGAUCUCCUUCUUCCCCUUCUUCCACCCCUGCCUGGAGCUUUCCUUCACCCAGCUGAUUCCCAGAGAGACCAUCCUGGGGCCUGUUUCCAAGUUGUCACAAGAAAGGUUUUUCUUAGUCCCCAGAAUGGUGGGAUGCAAACCAUUGAUUACCCCAUGGACUGUUUGAGCAGGACCAAGUUUUGACAUCCCAGAGGAAGGGCCUAUCCUUGCACUAGGAGGCUCAGGUAGAGAGAUGACCCAGCUUGGGGGUCUUCUCUGUGUGAGCAAGACCACCAUGGGGGAUCUACAUUCACAGGUGUGUCUAUCUCCAUGUAUGUCCCAGCAUAUGCACCAUCAGGAACCUGAAUUUCUCUCCUCUUUCCCCUGUGUGAAGACUCACCAAUGAAUCCCACCUUAGGAAGGACAUGGAACAUUGGAUUGAGCUUUCCCAUCGCCUGAGAGCAAAAGGCUACAUCCUCAUAAUGUUUUUUUCAGUGUGAUAAUUAGACUUUUUCUUUUUUACAAUCUCAGAUAACCUGGAGAUAGAUAGAUAUAUUUAUAUAACUCCGGGUUUUGUUAUCUUUGAGGACUACUUGAUAUGUAAUUAAGUUAAAAAAAACAAAAGGCUUAACUGAUAGCUAACCAGCCAUUGCAAGUCAACAGAGACAUGAGUUAUCCUUUUUAGAUCCACUGGGGGAGCAAAGGCACAGGAAUUAGGAAAAAAUUCUACAAACGGCACUGACACAUAUCAUUAAAUACAAAUGUGAGCAGCCUUGAUUACAAGUGUUGUUGUCCUCUCUUAGCAGGCGCACACCCCGAACUUUCAUUAACCCCAGGGAGCUGAAUAGCAGCUUGUCCAACCGAGGUGCCGAGGUGCCAGUGCCGUGCAUUUUGUCAAAGCCUGCCUUAAUGAAAAAGGCAGGGCCACCUACCAUGAACUUCUCUCUGUGACUUCAUUCUUCAGCCGUGCUCAAGUGUAAAUAAACUUGUUUACCAGGAUCAGAAUGGCCAUGUUAAUGAAGUCUUAUUUGUGUCACCACAAUGACAAGUAAUCUGUGCAAAGUUGAAUUCAGGAGAGUGGAGGAAACCAGAGAAAUUGUAUUUUUGUUCUGAAGUUUCUGUACAGAUGUCUUUGGGCCAAAGUUAGUACAGUCAAUAUUCGCCUUUUCUUUUGAUUGUGUGUCCAUGGUAGAGAAAAACCUUGUUACUGUGCCUAAUGUGGUAAACAAAAUUAUACUGUACGCCAUGAGAAGAAAAGUGAAAUAAGAAGCAUUGAUGAAUGUACCAAGGGGUGUAACCUCAGUGGUUAGUGUGUGGUUUUUAUGAAAUGAAUGCAUGAAUAUGCGGACCCUAAUUAUUACUUUCAAUUGACAAAGUAUGGUGAAUAUAGAGAACAUUGCAGUACAGCUUUGGCUGAGUCUCAAAGCAACUUUAGAAGUAAAUAUAGAAAUUCUUGUGUACGUUGUAUUAUAUGAAAAGAUCAUUUUAAAAAAAUUGAGACUAUUUGUUCAUACCUUAUUGAGUGGAUCUGCAGGAUGAUCAAUUUUGUUUGUUUGUGUUGUUCUUU
rnacentral:lncRNA from 1 species